CCUACGGGUGGCAGCAGUGAGGAAUAUUGGUCAAUGGGAGAGAUCCUGAACCAGCCAAGCCGCGUGAGGGAAGACGGCCCUAUGGGUUGUAAACCUCUUUUGUCGGAGGACAAAACCCGGGACGUGUCCCGGACUGCGUGUAUCCGAAGAAAAAGCAUCGGCUAACUCCGUGCCAGCAGCCGCGGUAAUACGGAGUAUGCGAGCGUUAUCCGGAUUUAUUGGGUUUAAAGGGUGCGUAGGCGGUCCGUUAAGUCAGCGGGAAAAUCGCGGGGCUCAACCCCGUCGAGCCGUUGAAACUGGCAGGCUUGAGUGGACGAGCAGUACGCGGAAUGCGCGGUGUAGCGGAGAAAUGCGUAGAUAUCACGCAGAACUCCGAUUGCGAAGGCAGCGUACCGGCGCCAGACUGACGCUGAGGCACGAAAGCGUGGGGAGCGAACAGGAUUAGAUACCCUUGUAGUC
rnacentral:rRNA from 1 species